rnacentral:misc_RNA from 1 species
AUAGGAGCGACACGGACUAAUGGCGUAUGAAAGCAUUCGUGUCAGUAGAUGGAGUGAUGACCAUGAUCAUAAAAGUAGCCUAGAAGCUGCAGCUGAGGCGGCAGCCAAAGUCAACGCCAUGCUUAUAGCAAAGGGAAAGCUCAAGCCAUCACAACUCUCACAACAACAGGGCAUCAAGCCAAAGAGUACUUCACAGCCAGGAGGCUUAAUUGUAGCUGAGGUAGAAAUAAAUGAUGUUCCAAUCGGCUGCAGAAAUAUGUUGACAAGAGGGGCCACACAAGAAGAGAUUUCAAAAUUGAGUGGUUCAGCUGUUUCAACAAGAGGUCGAUAUUUAUCACCUGAAGAGAAGAUGGGAAACUUAGGUGACCGACCACUUUACCUCUGCGUGCAGGGAUCUUCCCAAGAGUCUGUAGACAUUGCUGUCGGGAGAAUUAAUGAAAUCAUACUGAAUGGAAUGAAGGCUAAAGGAUCAAGAUUCGCUCCCAUCACAAGACCCAUGGUUCCAUUGCAGAGACCCAUGCUGAAUCAACCUCCACCCCUCAUGUCAUUGGAGACUCAGCCUCCUCAAAUUCCCACUGGGGUACCUGUUCUACAAGAAAAAUUAUAUAUAGGAUUGGAACAUGCACCUCCAAAUUUUGAUGUCAAAAAUAAAAUAUUUGGACCAAUGGGUUCCUUCUUAAACCACAUACAGGCAGAAACUGGAGCCAAAGUAACUUUACGGGGGAAAGCUUCAGGAUUUAUAGAACCCAUGUCAGGGAGAGAGGCGUUCGAACCCAUGCAUGUCCAUAUCCAACAUGGCACUUUACUCGGUCUUCAGAAUGCCAAGCAGCUUGCAGAAAACCUAAUUCAAACAGUGCCCCAGGAGGGAUCCUCAGCCAGCAAACGAUCAGUGCCCUGUCAGGUGGGACUCAAGGGAUACCACUGCAGCCACAACCAGGGUUGCAGCCUCUGACAACGAUUCCUGCUAUCAAUCAACCGGUGAUGACAAAUGUGGUCUUCUCCUCUAGUCCUGUUCUCACGUCUCACAACCAAGUUUGUUCUACUCUAGCCGGUGGCCCUCCUCAGCAGGUCAUAGUACAGGCACAGGUUCCCCCUCCCCCUCACGGAAUUCCACAUCUAGGGCAUCCCCAUUUGAUAUCGACCAACCCUCCCCCUGCCAGCAGUCCCCAGCCCCUGAUGACAACGGUGCAGCCCGAGUUAGUUCCCACCUCUCUCCCGGUGUGGGGAUCAUCAGCCCCUGGGGCAAUGCCCACUCAGCAAAUUAUACAACAGAUUCCAAUGAGUGUCGGCCCGCCAGUCAGUAGUUAUGGGCCCCCAAUCUCUAGUGCCUACAUGCCUAUGUCUUCUUCGCUGGGACCAGUGACUUGCACAUACACGCAGGUCACCACUGUCCCUCUGCUGAGGGUGUCCUCACCGGUGACCGUCACUUCCUCCACCCCCACCCCUUACAAUUACGGGGGUCCUUUGAAGGAAGAAAACAAACGGAGAUUUACAGAGGAGAAACCUGACGAUAAAGUGCCAGAAAACUUGCUUGGUUAUGAGCAUGGUCCACCUCAUCUAACAAACUUGGUGGUACAGGGACCACCCCCUGCACAGUCUCAGUCUCCAUCCCAGGGACAGCUUGUUCAGGGACCAGUCACACACGUCAUUCAGGCCUUACCCCCCACACAGAUCAUCCAUGGUCCCCCACCCACCCAGAUUGUACAGGGUCCACCUCCAGGCUACCAAGCCCCUCCCCCUCAUCUCAUACACGGACCACCGCCUCACGGCCAGAUUCCAGCCCCAUAUCAUCUAGGACCACCCCCAGUGGUAUCCGAUGGAGUACCUGUCAUGUCCCACAGUACUCAGCCCCCGCAAGGUGCCCCCGUGUAUUCUGUCCAUACUUCUAUCUCUGAGGAGGGAAGAGUGACCCACACAUACACAGUGCAGUCCAACUCUGGUGGAUUGGCGACCCCUCCCCAAGACGCACCCGGUGAUGUGGACAAGAAACUCAUGCCACCCCCUGCUCUACCAACAGGGGUAAAGCGGCCAGCAUCUGAGGCACUUCCAGAGUCACCAGACAGGAAAAGUAAAAAAGAUAGCGAUGAUGAAGAUGAGGAAGUAAAGUCAUCCUUGAGACAACAACAUAAGGAGGCCAAGAAAUACCAAUACAACCAGUACUCCAGUACCCCCCAGUUAUAUGGUCAGCCUCCACCUCCAGAACAGCUGUCUCCCUCAGGACAGUAUGAACAGGGCCAGCAGCCGCCCCCACAGUUCUUACCCCCAGGGCAAGUUGUGACAAUAGCCCAACACACAGACACUCCCCCGGGGUCAGAGAACCUGGCCCAGCCAGGACUACAACAACAGAUAAUUAUCCAGCAGCCACAGCAACUGCCUAGCCAUCCUCCCCCUGCCUUCCAACAACCCAUGUUCACAGGACAAAUCUCUCACAGCCCACCCCCUCCCCCACCCUGGACCACAGACCAACCCCCUGUGUCAGGACCAAGUCCUGGCCCAGCCCAGCAAUUGAUCCCCCAGCAGAUUACACUGGCCUCACCCCACAGAGUCAACCCUCCGGACCAGAGACUGAUGCCGGAGGAACAUAGAAUCUAUGGCGAGGCCCUGCCCCCACCUCCUCCAAACUAUCAGACAGGCCCACCUCCACAUGGAUCCACUCCUCAGAUUAUUGUCCCCUCUCAUCUACCCCCUCCCACACAGACAAUAGUGUCAGUACCCCAAUUCAAUGGACAGCCUCCCCCAUUCCCUGGUCAACCCCCUCCCCAGGGGAGUUACCAGUACCCCACUGGUCCCCCUCUUACCAUGUCUUACUGGUGAAUCAGGUGCUGUGGUGCAAGAGCUUGUAUGUAGUAUGACUGGUUCAAAUGAUUUUGCAUGAAUGAACUUGUUAAUUAUUGUAAACUAGAUGCAGCUUGGCUGUUAUUGUGUGAGCGUUGCUUUUGUGUUGUUAUCAAAUAACGACCAAAUAAUUUGUUGUUAGAGUGCUUUUGACGUCAUCAAAUGACCAAUAAAAAAUCAAAUUAGAAAAUAUAUUG